AGGACGAACGCUGGCGGCGCGCCUAACACAUGCAAGUCGAGCGAGAACCGGGGCUUCGGUCCCGGGGACAGCGGCGAACGGGUGCGUAACACGUGAGCAACCUGCCCCGAAGACCGGGACAACCCGAGGAAACUCGGACUAAUACCGGAUGUCCUCACCGGAUCGCAUGGUCUGGUGAGGAAAUGGAUUCCGCUUCGGGAUGGGCUCGCGGUCUAUCAGCUUGUUGGUGGGGUAACGGCCUACCAAGGCGACGACGGAUAGCUGGUCUGAGAGGACGAUCAGCCACACUGGGACUGAGACACGGCCCAGACUCCUACGGGAGGCAGCAGUGGGGAAUCUUGCGCAAUGGGGGAAACCCUGACGCAGCGACGCCGCGUGCGGGAUGAAGGCCUUCGGGUUGUAAACCGCUUUCAGCAGGGACGAAUUGACGGUACCUGCAGAAGAAGGCCCGGCCAACUACGUGCCAGCAGCCGC
rnacentral:rRNA from 1 species